AAGCCCAAAAUCCUCCAUGCUCUUCUCCUUCUCAUUCUCAAUACAGAGACGCGAGAACAGAACAAACCAAAGAACGAACCCAUUCCCAAAUUUGCCGCCUUAAAUUUCCCCUUUUUUACUUCAUAUUCGUACAAUCUGCGUGCUUAGCACGAGCCUAAAGACACUCGGAGCUUCCGGAGGCAACCAUGGUGUGGUCCAUUCCAAUUUCCUUUUUCUCUUCAUUUUCAUUUCAAAUUCGUACACUCCCCAGCUCAUACACCUUAUCCACUGCGAAAAUUGGAGAUUUCGGCCUCACCCACAUCGUUUCUCAAACGAUUUUCAAUUUGCAACAGUCCCAUAUCGAGAUUUCUUCCAUUUUGGAAUUUUUUUUGGUUUUUAUAUAAACCAACCCCAUUCACUGUUCAAAGGGACGGUUUUUGGAGAUUGAGAGUACCCCAAAAGGGUUUGGGAAUUCUCGGCUCAAUAGUUUAAAGUUUUGUGGCUUUUGUGAUCAUUCGAGUUGAAAGAGGUAGUGGAACCGUCUCCGUCAAACUCAUCGUCCGGUUCGCUGCCCACAACCAGGUAAUCUUCUCUUUAUUUCAACAUUUAUGUUGGCUCUUAAUUAUGUCUUGUUCAUUGAAAUGUGUUUGGCAUUAGCUGUUUAAGUAUUUUUCUAAUAGAUUAAAAAAAAUAGCAAAAUUGCUCAUCUUUGAACUCGGUUAAUUUAUAUGUAGGAUAGUCAUGCCUUAAUUUCAGCAUUUGCUAUUGUCUUGGGAUAAGUUUAAUUAGUGUUGAAUAGAGUUAGAGUUGUGAUUUUCAUGUUCAAGCAUUCCUAGCUAUUAGGUUGGAUUUUGUAACUUGAAUUCAUUUUGAUUUGGAAAGGCUUUUGAAGUAUCUAGUUUAUCUUGAUUGAUUAACCUAUCUAAGUGGUAAUGAAAAUCUGAAAUAUGGAGUUUAGUUUUAUCAGUUUUAAGGUUUUCAUCUUCUGUUUUUUUUUCUUUGAAGCCUGUAUUCGUUGUUGAAUGUCAUCUAUGUCUGUCUAUUUUGUAAAAUCUGUUGGUGUGAUUUGUCAAAUAACAGACCAUUGGCUUUCAAUGCCAAUCGAGAGCCUGUCUGAGUGAGAAAUUGCUUACCUUUGGGGCUGCUCUUUAACACUCUCCAAAGAGUUAGGCUGGGAUGGAUGAAAGCUCAUAUCAUAGCUUUUAUACGUCCUAAAAUUUAUUAGAUUACUCUACUUAGAUCCUUGUUUAAAUUCUCUAAGUUAUUUUAUAUCUCCUUGCUCUUUCUUGUUUGCCUUUCGUAUAUGCUAAAUGAAUUGGCUUAAAACUUGAUCAAGUUGAGUCUAAAGUUGUUUAUCUUUAAACUAUACUUGAAUCUGUUUCAAACUCCUUUUUGGUUUGAUCAAAGGUUGUGUUAAAGUAGGAGUAAGAAACCUCUGUUUAGUUGUUGUCAUAAUUAAGUUGUGGCUGCCUAUUGUUGUUAAGUGCCUCCAUCUUGGAAAUGUUAUUUUAUACACAGAUUCUAAAUUGCUUAUGAAAUUAUGUGGUGUUCAAAUAAUUUUGACAAUAUUAUAAAUAUGUUCUCGUGUUCAUUUACUGAUUUUAGGUGCAAAUAUACCACUCUUUUCUUUACUGUUUGUAGUUAAUCUAACCUCAACUGCCGUAAAUCUUCAAGUGCUACCCUUGAUUGCCCUUAGAUGUUCUUUGUUGUAAUUCUGGUUCAGUAACUCUAGAUAGAGUUUUGCUUGCUCUUGGUAGUUUUUUCUUUAUUGCUGUGUUUGAAUAUGGCUAUCUGUGUCAUGUCUUAAAUUAAUUCAUGUUGACAUCAGCUUGUUUCCUUAAGCAGUAAGUUCAUAUUUACUUGAUAUAGUUCUUUUCUCUAAUUUAUAUUUGCUUUAUCUUUAUUUUUUCUGUGAUCGAUAGUAGUAUAUGGUUAAGUUUGGUAUAAUUUUAGCCAUGAUAAACAUGCCAAUUAGAGUUUUGAGCUCACAUGACAUUGUUUGUUUUAAGCUCAAGUUGAUAUCAUUCAAAUGUUGUUAAUCUUUUUCCCUUUUUUCCUUGGCAUGAACUCUCUCGUUUGAGUCCAAUUGGACUCCUAUUCUUGCAUACUCCUCUCCUCGAGUCAACCUCCUUUAAGCCAAUUGAAAGGAGGUUAAUAUUACUGGGAUAAAACCUAAGAGCCAGCCACUACAGCAGCCUUGAAAGGCUGAGAAAUGAGAAGCGAAAUUGGGUUAAAAACCCAAAAUCAGAAGCAGCAACAGGGGCACAAAAGAGCUGAAAUGAGAGUGUUUUCGGUUCAAAUUGGCCGAAAUUAGAACACUUGGUUUUUGCACCAGUUUCAGUAGUCUCAAAAGGCUGGAAAUAUCAUUUUAGCACCAGCAGCAGCAAAUAAGAAGCAGAUUAAAUUGGUGUGAAGAUAGAGAAGUUUGGAGCUAAAAUGAAUUAAAAAUGAAAGGUUGAAGAAUGAAAGCAGAAAAUUUGAUGGAUUAAAUUGAACAUUAUAUUAAUAUUUAUAUACAUUCAAAUGUACGCAGAAUUGAAAGGAAGCAGAUUUUGAUAGACAAUUAUCUUGUUGCCACAUGGCACUGAAUGAAGGCACCUCCAAUUUCGUUAGCGCAAGGCGAGCCGAGGCUGCUGGACCACCAGAUUGUUGGACUGGCACCACAGACGAGAGCAGUCCUUUCUUUCAGUUAUUUGUUAUUCAACUAUAUUACAUACUCGAACAUUCAAUGUAUUGAUGUUAUUCAACCUGGAUCUUUUAAUGAUGCGGGUACAUGUUCUUAAGAUCCUUAACAAGAGUAUGUUGAGAUCCCUUCAUCCACUCGUCAGCUUUUGAGUAAGACCUCCUUGCUUCCGGAGGACUCCAGUUUUAUUGUUAGUAGUAAUUCUUUUGAGGAGUCGUGGGUCUUGUCCUGACACUCAUUUUUGUAUAGUAGAGGC